rfam:Ovis aries breed Texel chromosome 17, whole genome shotgun sequence.
GACGCUUUGGCUCAGAGGGUAAAGCGUCUGCCUGCAAUGCAGGAGACCUGGGUUUUAUCCCUGGGUCA